CCUAUUGGCCAUACCACCCUGAAUGUACCUGAUGUCAUCCAAUCUCAGAAGCUAAGCAGGAUUGGGUCUGGUUAGUAUUUGGAUGGGAUGGCCACAGGACCAGGUUCCUGCCAAGA
rfam:Fukomys damarensis contig117412, whole genome shotgun sequence.